AGUGAACGCUGGCGGCGUGCCUAAGACAUGCAAGUCGCACGAGAAAGUUCCCGCAAGGGAGCGUGUAAAGUGGCGCACGGGUGCGUAAUAAUUAGGUAAUGUGCCCUAUCGCUGAGAAUAACCAGGCAAAGCUUGGCUAAUACUGAAUACUCCGGGAGAGACUGCGGUCUUUUUCGGGAAAGCCGUAAGGCGCGAUAGGAAUAGCCUAAUUCUCAUUAGCUAGUUGGUAGGGUAAUGGCCUACCAAGGCUACGAUGGGUAGCUGGUCUGAGAGGACGAUCAGCCACACUGGUACUGGAACACGGACCAGACUCCUACGGGAGGCAGCAGCGGGGAAUAUUGGACAGUGGGGGGAACCCUGAUCCAGCAAUGCCGCGUGUGUGAAGAAGGCCUGAGGGUUGUAAAGCACUUUCGGCGGGGAGGAGGAUGAGUUGGUUAAGAGCUGACUUAUUGGACGUUACCCGCAUAAGAAGCACCGGCUAACUCCGUGCCAGCAGCCGCCGUAA
rnacentral:rRNA from 1 species